rnacentral:lncRNA from 1 species
AAAAAAAAUAAAAAAAAGGUCCUCCCUUAGUUGCACCUGCAUCGAGCACUUCAUUGCACUCAUUCAACUAUGCAAGUUUUAAAAAAUUUGAAUGCUGCAUGAAUUUUGUAAUAUUUCACACUAACAGUGUCGAGGUUUUUCAUCUCUAAUUUUUCUUAUCGUUUUGCCAGCGUAUAUUUGUUUCAGCAAUUAAGUUACUUUGUGACAGGGAUCACUUGAUGCUGAUGGUUUAGGUCCUACUGCAUGGUGGGUAUAAAUGGGAAUGGUGAGGUUUAUUAGAUGAAUUUGUACUCUGGAAGUGAAGAAGCUGAUGAUAUUAUGUGGAAGCAGAAAAGAGAAAGCUGAUAAACACUCCAACACCACCGCCCAACUGGAAUCGAGGAAGCCAAGAUUGAAUGUAUUUAUUGGUUGAUUCCCCCUUCAUUACAUUGAUAAUAAAAAUUGUCUUUUUAUUUUUUUAUUUUAACUUUGUGCUCAGGUUACUUGUACAAUAUAAGGAAUAUAUUUGUCUUCCUUUUUUUUUUUUUUUUCUUCAAAGACUAAAAUCAAUACGAAUUUGAAAUUCUCACACUUGAUCUCGUUUCCUGUGCAAAACAUAACUGACAUGUUUGAUACUCUAAACAGGACAAGACGAUUUUUUUACAAUCUCAUUUUUAACUAUGAUCAAUUCAGAAUUGCUGAUAUAAAGAUCAAAAUUUGUAUUGGUUCCUGGUCUUUGUUAGAGGCUAAUGCAUUUCGUCGCCAGUUCGA